CUUAACAUACCGUACAAAGUACCCGCGGAUAGAUAUUUUUGUAAUUGAAACUAAUCGAUCGUGAUGUUUGCACGUUACGCGGCAGGGGAUAAUGGUUAGCGGCUUGACGAUCGAACGAUGGACAAACAGAAAUAUGGACAGCCGAGAGAGGCCCGAAACCAGAACUCUCCACUGAUCCAUCAGUUCGAAUCAACUAGGACGAGAAUAAAAGGGAGAUAGAGAUCCAGCGAGCCCCGGGCGAGACAAUUAAUUUGUAGGAAGCGCGAUGAAGUACUCGUGUGUGCCGACAGAAUAUUUUAAGUCCACUAGAUUCUGUUCUAGCUUCCAAACUAUAGUAAUCUCUCCCUAAUUCGCGCUCAGAUCGCGCACGAAAAGGACAAUUUGGAAAGAGAAGGUACGAUUAUUCUACUCUUCCCAAAUUGUCCACUUUUGUGCGCGAUCUGAGCGCGAAUUGAGGAGAAAUUAUUGUACACGUUUACACAGUUUUCUUAUCCCCUUACUGUACUUUUAUUGUAAUUAAUAAUUUGUUCGCAUCAGAGCUAAUAAAUAACUAUGAUAUUCGGUUAGGAAGCCUUA